rnacentral:lncRNA from 10 species
GCCUGCGCCUCCUUGGGACAGCCUACCCGGGGCUCCCCAUUCCUCCGUUGUCAGGGAAAGUAACUCAGUUACAGGUGGCCAAUUAGGGCCCCAGCGUACGUAGUAGUUGUGUGUUACCAGGGCCAUGGCAAAGGCCCGAGAUUCUCAGGGAGGAGAGGACACAUAGAGGCUGCUUUACCUGCACUUUGAAGGCAUCUGGCUAGAACGAGAGAGAAGCCGAGGGGCUGAGCGGCUCUGAGGUGCCACUCCUCGCCCUCUGUUCGCCCUCCCCCACAUGGCUUAACCUUUUUGGUGUUGGCUUGUUUGUGAGUUUGGUGACACUUCCCCAGCUGUUAUGUCAAUGGAAGCAGGGCUCCUCCUGACAAGAGUCCUGCCUUUCAGCCCAAGGACACCUCCCAGUCCCCCCUCGAGGCCCGCCCCGCUGGCCACUCUCCCCCAGGCCAGGCAAGUGCUGGGGAGGGCCCCACUGUUGUCCACGGGCAGCCAGGCCUGUGAGAGAAGACCCCCAUCCUGAGAGCCCUUCCUGGGCUCCAGGCCCAGCGAGGGAUGAAGGGACAAACGGCGUGAGGUCCUCUCCCGGCUGUCACGUGGCAACAGCAGCCUGAGCUCUGUGCCGACAGCAGAACCCGACUAGCACAGCCUCGGGAGGCAGCAUCAGCGGGGCAGCUCCGGCGAGUCAGGUUCUAAAAACUGGUUUCUCAUCCCACAGCCACCAG